UACAGAGGGUGCAAGCGUUAAUCGGAAUUACUGGGCGUAAAGCGCACGUAGGCGGUUGGUUAAGUCAGAUGUGAAAGCCCCGGGCUCAACCUGGGAAUUGCAUUUGAAACUGGCCAACUAGAGUACGUGAGAGGGGGGUAGAAUUCCAAGUGUAGCGGUGAAAUGCGUAGAGAUUUGGAGGAAUACCAGUGGCGAAGACGGCCCCCUGGCACGAUACUGACGCUCAGGUGCGAAAGCGUGGGGAGCAAACAGG
rnacentral:rRNA from 1 species